ACUUUGGGGGCGGGUUUUGGCGGGAAAAUCUGUAAUGUUUGGAGAAGACAAGAUGGCGCUGGUUACCUCGUGUCAUAUCAAAGGGCAUUUUUGUUCACAAAUACCCAUUUAUUUUACGUUGUAGCGACUGGUUAGUUUUGGAAAUUAUAACUCAAUGGACGGGGAAAACGAUUCUGUAUUAAAGAGAAAAAGAUGUGCAGCUAUUGUGAUGUUAUUUGUUGUGAAAGACGGCCCGAAAUUUCGCUACAUCGCAGUACUGGUUUAUAAAACAUUUACAAGCAACAACAAUUGAACUAUAUGACAAAGAAACAAGCCAAUCAAGUUCUUCAGUUUAAAGGUCAGUUUACUUUUUAAUAAUUAGUUCAUUUAGUUGUAUAUUAAUACGAAUUACGAA